rnacentral:tRNA from 1 species
ACCUGGGUGGCUCAGUUGGUUAAGCGUCUGACUUUGGCUCAGGUCAUGAUCUCAUGGGUCAUGGGUUAGAGCCCCAUGUCGGGCU